rnacentral:rRNA from 1 species
ACUCAAAUGAAUUGACGGGGGCCCGCACAAGCGGUGGAGCAUGUGGUUUAAUUCGAUGCUACGCGAAAAACCUUACCUAGGCUUGACAUCCCGUGCUACCCGGGGAAACUCGGGGUCCUCUUCGGAGGCGCGGAGACAGGUGCUGCAUGGCUGUCGUCAGCUCGUGUUGUGAGAUGUUGGGUUAAGUCCCGCAACGAGCGCAACCCUCGUCACUAGUUACCAGCAUUAAGUUGGGCACUCUAGUGAGACCGCUGAGCUAUAAGCCAGAGGAAGGUGGGGAUGACGUCAAGUCCUCAUGGCCUUUAUGUCUAGGGCAACACACGUGCUACAAUGGAGGGCACAAUGCGUCGCAAGCGCGCGAGCGCAAGCUAAUCGCAAAAAACCCUCCUCAGUUCGGAUUGAAGUCUGCAACUCGACUUCAUGAAGCUGGAAUCGCUAGUAAUCGUCGAUCAGCACGCGACGGUGAAUACGUUCCCGGGCCUUGUACACACCGCCCGU